CUAAAAUAUAUUUUUAAAAUUUUUCAGGAACUGUUAUUUUCGUUCACGUUUCUCAAACAAAAAGAAUUCGUUCAUUUUCCUUGUUUUUUUAUUUUUAAAGAAAGCAACUAGCUUUGUUCCUACAAAAAGAAUUCGUUCCAGGAAUCCGUUUCUUUUGGGACGGAUUCUUUCUCAACACUGAUUCCUAAUGUAUAUUAGAUAAAAAUUGAUCAAUUGAUUAUAUUAAUUUCAAGGAUUUAGAUUGUAAAAUGUGUUUUUAUUUAUUAUUGACGCUCAUAUGUUGUUAAGCAAUAUAUUAAGUCAUUUAUUCAGG